rnacentral:rRNA from 1 species
UACGUAGGGUCCGAGCGUUGUCCGGAAUUACUGGGCGUAAAGAGCUCGUAGGUGGUUUGUCGCGUUGUUCGUGAAAACUCACAGCUUAACUGUGGGCGUGCGGGCGAUACGGGCAGACUGGAGUACUGCAGGGGAGACUGGAAUUCCUGGUGUAGCGGUGGAAUGCGCAGAUAUCAGGAGGAACACCGGUGGCGAAGGCGGGUCUCUGGAACGGUACUGACGCUGGAGACGCGAAAAGCGUGGGGAGCGAACAGG